rnacentral:misc_RNA from 1 species
AAACAUUAAAUUGUGUUUUUAUUUCAGCACAAAAUGCACAAAAGAUUAAGAAUAACUCAGAAAGACUUUUCAUAAAAUAUAAUCAAGUCACAAGAGAAUAAUCGCCAAUAAAAGUAACAAAAUACUUAAAACCAGUCUUAGACACAAUGGGACAAGGACCCAAAAAUCAGAACGAACUAAUUCAAAAGGGGACAUAGCCCGUUUAUUAACUCUAGACACUGAAGGAAAACGGUGAUGUUUAGUAAACUGACAAGACUCAUAAUCUAAUGAUGAGAUAUUUUAAAAUUAAGGACAUAAUUUCUUCAAGGAGGAUAGGGGAGGGAUGCCCUAGCCUACAAUGCACUUGAAAAGGAGUCAAGACGCUGAAAGAAGCAAUGAAUCUUGCCACCUAUGUGUCAAGGAUGUAGAGGCCUCCAAACUCAUGACCUUUACUAAGAAUCCGCUUCGUCAUAAGAUUCUAAAAUAGACAAUGAUCAGAGAAAAAAUGAUACACAACAACGCAAAGCAUGAGUGAGUUUACUAACAUAAAUUAGAUUGAA